AUGCAUGUCUAAGUUCACACUGUUCCACGGUGAAACCGCGAAUGGCUCAUUAAAUCAGUCGAGGUUCCUUAGAUGACACGAUCCUACUUGGAUAACUGUGGCAAUUCUAGAGCUAAUACAUGCUUCUGACGCUCCGACCCUUCCGUGGAAAGAGCGCGUUUAAUAGUUCAAAACCAAUCGGGCUGUCCGCGUCUUCGGGCGUGGCGCCCGUCCCCUACUGGUGACUCUGGAUAACUUUGUGCUGAUCGCAUGGCCUCGCGCCGGCGACGCAUCUUUCAAAUGUCUGCCCUAUCAAAUGUCGAUGGUGCGUGAUAUGCCUACCAUGUUCGUAACGGGUAACGGGGAAUCAGGGUUCGAUUCCGGAGAGGGAGCAUGAGAAACGGCUACCACA
rnacentral:rRNA from 1 species